GUUUCCGUGGUGUAGCGGUUAUCACGUCUGCUUUACACGCAGAAGGUCCCCGGUUCGAGAAGGUCCCCGGUUCGAUCCCGGGCGGAAACA